GUUGAAACACCGGUUCUCGUAAGAUCACCGAAGUUAAGCAAUGUUGAACCUGAUCUGUACCCAGAUGGAUGAUCGCUUUGAAAUACCAGGUGUUGUAAU